GUAUGAUGACCGGCCUCGUUCAUUCAUGGUGUAUGCCCCAAACAGAACAGCAGUUGUUUACGCCCUAGUUGAAGAUGAACCAAAAGUAGUCAACGAUUUGGAACUUGUUGAAAUUCCUGAAACUGUUAAACCAGCAGCAGCAGAACCUGUUAAAGAAUCUGAACCUGAUGAAGAAUCAGAGCCUUUAGACAGCUAAACCUUUCUCGACAGCAGAAUCUCGUGUUAUUGACCAUUCAAAGUCGGUCAAGGAGCUGUCCCACUGAACGCGGUAUUUUUUGCUUAAAAAUUACGUAUUCCACGAUUAGUAGUUUCACUGCCUAGGAGAUGAAAUGAUCAAGUUAAAC
rnacentral:lncRNA from 1 species